CCUACGGGUGGCACCAGUGGGGAAUAUUGCACAAUGGGCGCAAGCCUGAUGCAGCCAUGCCGCGUGUAUGAAGAAGGCCUUCGGGUUGUAAAGUACUUUCAGCGGGGAGGAAGGCGAUAAGGUUAAUAACCUUGUUGAUAGACGUUACCCGCAGAAGAAGCACCGGCUAACUCCGUGCCAGCAGCCGCGGUAAUACGGAGGGUGCAAGCGUUAAUCGGAAUUACUGGGCGUAAAGCGCACGCAGGCGGUCUGUCAAGUCGGAUGUGAAAUCCCCGGGCUCAACCUGGGAACUGCAUUCGAAACUGGCAGGCUAGAGUCUUGUAGAGGGGGGUAGAAUUCCAGGUGUAGCGGUGAAAUGCGUAGAGAUCUGGAGGAAUACCGGUGGCGAAGGCGGCCCCCUGGACAAAGACUGACGCUCAGGUGUGAAAGCGUGGGGAGCAAACAGGAUUAGAUACCCUAGUAGUC
rnacentral:rRNA from 1 species